GUGGGGAAUAUUGGGCAAUGGGGGAAACCCUGACCCAGCAACGCCGCGUGAAGGAAGAAGGCUUUCGGGUUGUAAACUUCUUUUACCAGGGAAAAACACAAUGAUGGUACCUGGAGAAAAAGCUACGGCUAACUACGUGCCAGCAGCCGCGGUAAUACGUAGGUGGCAAGCGUUGUCCGGAAUUACUGGGUGUAAAGGGCGUGUAGGCGGAACUACAAGUCAGGGGUGAAAACUAUGGGCUUAACCCAUAGCCUGCCUUUGAAACUGUAGUCCUUGAGUGCUGGAGAGGCAAUUGGAAUUCCUAGUGUAGCGGUGAAAUGCGUAGAUAUUAGGAGGAACACCAGUGGCGAAGGCGAAUUGCUGGACAGUAACUGACGCUGAGGCGCGAAAGCGUGGGGAGCAAACAGGAUUAGAUACCCGGGUAGUCC
rnacentral:rRNA from 1 species